UACAGAGGGGGCCAGCGUUAUUCGGAAUUAUUGGGCGUAAAGGGCGCGUAGGCGGCCAUGCGUGUCUUCCGUGAAAUCCCUCGGCUUAACCGGGGAACUGCGUCUGAUACUGGAUGGCUUGAGUUCGGGAGAGGGAUGCGGAAUUCCAGGUGUAGCGGUGAAAUUCGUAGAUAUUCGCAAGAACACCAGUGGCGAAGGCGGCUCACUGGCCCGGUACUGACGCUGAGGCACGAAAGCGUGGGGAGCAAACAGG
rnacentral:rRNA from 1 species